AUUGAACGCUGGCGGCAGGCCUAACACAUGCAAGUCGAACGAGUGGCGGACGGGUGAGUAAUGUCUGGGAACCUGCCCGAUGGCGGGGGAUAACUACUGGAAACGGUAGCUAAUAACGCAUACCAUCGGAUGUGCGCAGAUGGGAUUAGCUAGUCGGUGGGGUAACGGCCCACCUAGGCGACGAUCCCUAGCUGGUCUGAGAGGAUGACCAGCCACACUGGAACUGAGACACGGUCCAGACUCCUACGGGAGGCAGCAGUGGGGAAUAUUGGACAAUGGGCGCAAGCCUGAUACAGCCAUGCCGCGUGUAUGAAGAAGGUCUUCGGGUUGUAAAGUACUUUCAGCGGGGAGGCGUUACCCACAGAAGAAGCCACGGCUAACUCCGUGCCAGCAGCCGCUGUAAUUC
rnacentral:rRNA from 1 species